CCUAUCUAUCCAUCUAUCUAAUCUAUCUAUCUAUCUAUCUAUCGCUACGUUGGGUCAUCGUUGCUGCAUGGGCUUUCUUUUUAGUUGCAGCGAGCGGGGGCUACUCUUUGUUGCAGUGCACAGACCUCUCAUUAAGGUGGCUUCUCUUGUUGUGGAGCAUGGGCUCUAGGUGCACAGGCUUCAGCAGUUGUGGCACAUGGGCUCAGUAGUUGUUGCUCGCGGGCUAUAGAGCGCCAGCUCAGUAGUUGUGGUGCAUGGGCUUAGUUGCUCCGCAGCAUGUGGGAUCUUCCCAGACCAGGGCUCAAACCUGUCUCCCCUGCAUUGGCGGGCAGAUUCUUAACCACUGCGCCACCAGCGCAGCCCCGGGAAGGCACUUAGUGACAAGAGUGGAGGGCGCCCAGCUGGCUCUGACGCUGCAGACACACACUGAAUGGGGAGAGCAUGUGUCCCACUCGCUGCACCUCUCUUCACACAGAGAAAACUGGAGACAAUAGAUUCACUGGAGGGCCAGCCUUUAAAAACCAUAAUCAGAUUGGGAGCAUCACCCUUCUGAAACAGAAUUUGGUAACUUUUACCCAAAGCCCUAAAAAGUACUUAUCAUAUUCAGCACAACAGUUCCACUUCCACACCACAUAUCUGCAAUAACAAAAACCCGGAGACAACUUAAAUGCUCAGGGGGGUGGAGAGUCAGCUAUGUUACUCCCAUAAGUGCUGGUAUUUACAAAUAACAAAAUUAUAACCAAGAUUUAAAAAGGACCACAAUACAAAACUAUAUAUAUACAUUACAACUGUGACAAAACAAAAAAGUAUACAGAAAGUAAUACUGGAAGGAAAUAUGCCCAAACUGUUAGUAUUAUUUUUAGGCAGUAAGAUAAUGGGGAUUUUCCACAUCUUCCUAAUCUUCUAUAUUUUCUAAAUUUACUACUAUGAGCACGUUUACUUUUGAAACUAGAAAAGUCCAAUAAGCUUUCUAUUUUGAAAGCUUCAACCAUGCAGCCUCGUAGGUGAUGGUGGGACUACAAGCCCGUGCUCUAGAGGGCAAAUCAGAAAGAGACAGUUGAAACCUGAAAAGUGCGCACGCCCUCCGACCGAGAAAUUCCACUUCUGGAAUUUAACCUCAGGAAAUAAUGAAGGAUAUACACUAACAUUUAGGAUCCUCUCUGAAGCAUUUAGCAUAGUGAGAACUGAAAAGAACUAGUUCACUAGGGGAUUAGUGAAAUAAAUGAGAACACAUAAAAUGGAACACCACCCACCCACUUACAUGACAGGGCCAAGUGUAUGUAGAAACCUGGGCAGGUGUGCACAAGACAUCGUUAAGAGAAAAAAAGCAUAUUACAAAACAUUCUAUAAAAUGGAAUUCCACUUUGACUUAAAAUAUUUAUCCAUAAAAAACUAGGAUACUUGGGAAUUCCCUCGCAGUCCAGUGGUUAAGACUCGGGCUUUCAGUGCCGUGGACCUGGGUUCAAUCCCUGGUCGGGAAACUAAGAUCCCAUAAGCUGCACGGUGGGGGAAAAAAAAAAAAAAAAAAAACUAGGACACUCAACAAUGCGUUAAUGUGUGCUAUCUCUGGGUGAUGGGAUUAUGAGUGAUUUUUGCUUUCUGUUUGCUUAAAUAUACUUUCUAAUUCUUUUAUAGCAAGUAUAUAUCGCUUGUAUAGUAAAUAUUUACAUAUGUACUUUUUUCCCCCUAUUUUAGAAAACUAUGAUCAACUGACAGUCUUGGUUGAGCCCAGUAUAGAAGCUUGCGGGAUCUUAGUUCUCUGACCAGGGAUUGAAGCGGGGCCCCCGGCAGUGGAAGGACGGAGUCCUAACUACUGGACUGCCAGGGAAGUCCCUAAAUGCAGUAUAACAUUAAAAAAUUGUGAAUCAAUAUGUUGUAUACCUGUAACAUAAUACUGUACAUCAACUACAUCUCAAUGAAAAUUUUUAAAAAGGCACAAACUUCCAGUUUUAAGUAGAAAGUAGGGAUGUAAUGUACAACAUGACAACCACGGUUAACACUGCUAUGUGUUAUAUAGGAAAGUUGUUAAGAGAGUAAAUCCAAAGAGUUGUCACAAGGAGACAUAUGUAUAUAGAUAUUUGUAUCUAUAUGAGAUCAUGGAUAUAAACUAAACUUACCGUGGUAAGCAUUUCAUGAUAUACAGAGGUCAAAUAAUUAUGCUGUACACCUUAAACAGUGAUGUAUAUCAAUUAUAUCUCAAUAAAGCUGAAAAAAAGAUAAUUUCUAGUUUCAGUUUGAUAGAAGGACCCAAAGGUUUCAACCAGAAAACAAUACCAUCUUUACUGAAGGAUUUUUUCUUUUUUUUGGCUGCACCACAGGGCUUGUGGGAUCUUCUUAGUUCCUCGACCGGGGAUCAAACCCACACCCCCUGCAUUGGAAGCGUGGAGUCUUAACCACUAGACUUUCAGGGAAGUCCCUGAAGGAUUUUAACUAAUAUCUAUUUCUAAGCCUGGAAGACUUCAACUUCAGAUUAUACUAAAGGAAAAAAAGAGUAGUAACACUAUUCCUUAACGAGGAAGAAAACAGAACUGACAACAAGAAGGCUCCAAAGCGGCAGCCGCUUCCAUCAAAGGAGUGAAUCCAUAUACAGGCUCCCUGCAAGAUACAGCCUGCAGUCAGAUGAUGAGCAGAGGAAGCUCUGGGGGGCGGAAGCUUACCUGCUGCAGACAAAACCUCAGUGACGCAAAGUCACCCAUCCCUAAGCCUAGGGGGCUCCCUGAAUGUGGACAGAUGAGAAACUGUUUCCCCCCCUGCUAUGGCCUGAAUCUCUACUUAAUCACAGCAAAAAGUAGCUGUCACCCUUCACUGCUCACAGACAGCUAGCACCUCCUCUCCACCUAUCCAGAUAUCCUACAUUUUGAGAUCAACAACCUCCAGGAACCCUUCCAGGAGCUCCAGGACUAACCAUCUCCUGCACUCACUACACCUAAUGCUUGCUUACGGCUAACUCAGCGCCCUCCUCAGAGUGCCCCCCCACCAAGUCCUCACUGGUUUUACCUGGGCUAGAAGACAGGAAGCAAGCUAACCACUAGCUUUCAUCCAUUCGAAGAUACACAGUUUUCAUAUUUUAGCAUCGCUGAAGUCAGAAUGUCAAUAAACAAGAUGCAUUUUAAUUAGGAGCAUUUUUCUUUCUUUCUUAGUGGCCUGUAAACCUACAGUAUGU